GAGCGCUCGUACUUGGCUUGGCCAGAAUCUGUCCAUGUGAAAUUCCUGAAAAUGUUUGAAAAAUACAUCAGAAGAGAAUCGCAAAAUCCAAUGCCCUCCCGUGAAGAGAUGAAUUUUUUUCUGGAAGAAAAUAGUCUUGACAUUCCCUGGCAAAAAGUUCGAACAAAGAUUAAUAACGAACGAGCAAAGCGUGACAGAAUCAAGAAGAGUAACCUAGAAAAGAUACUUAAAACCUCAUAGAUUUUCUUUUAUAUCUUUAUUAUAUGAACGUCAUCCCUUGGAAAUAAAAAGUAGCAAAAAAAUUUGAAACCGGUUUUUCAAAUUUAUUCUUUAUUUUAUGUUAUAUAUUUGUAGGACCAUCCCGUUCAUUAUCUAUAUUCAUUGAUACGAGUAUUUUGUUCAUUUCCAUGAUGUUUUGUAACAUAAAAUUUCACUAAAGUGUAAUAAAGUGGAAAAAACAUAUUGCUUUGUCGCUAUUGAUGCCCCCGAAAUCUCGUCUUUCAAAGGAUCCAAGCUAAAAAAAAAUAUGUGGUAGGUAAAACAGCAUUUUGUGCUAUUUUUGUUUUAAAAACUUUUCAUGUUUAUUAAUAUACAUAAGAAAAACUUUUUAAGGCUUAGACCCACCAAGGGAGUUUUUUAAGUAAAGAAAGAAUAUAAAAGUUUUAGAUAUCCAGGGGGUAAAAACAUAUUCAUUAUAAACUCUUUAGCAAAUAUGCUCACCUGAUCUAACUAGAUACUUGUGUUUCAAAAAUGCUAUAAGUAACAAACCAUUUUGUUGUUUUCAGUACUUUUUUCAAAAGUGUAAUUAACAAUUAAGGGAAAACUUACAAUUUUUACCUUAAAAGCUGAGAAAAUAUAUUGACAACAAUAAAAUCAUGAAAAUUAUUUAUCACUGCUUCCACCGUAUUUAACGUUUACCACUUUGACUUUCAACUCUUAUGGUAUAACGAAUUUAGUCCAUUGUGCAUUUUUGAUACUUCUGUUAUUGUUGUUCAUUCAAUCACCUACUUUUUUUCAACUUUCAACAUCUCGGUGAGCCAGUGAAGAAAGCUCCUUGUACAAAAUUUGUGCCAGGCAUGAGAAGCCACGGCAGUAAUUUUCUUUCCAUUUUCUUCCAUUUGUGGAAAUACAUACAUACAUAUUUUUUACAAAAAAACGGGAAUUGAUUUUUCACUAGGUUAUUAUUUUUAGCGACGUAAACUUCAUCUACUUCCGUAGUUUGUGAGCGGCUGAUCUGCAUUUGUCCACGGAAUUUCCUUUUUCGAAUUUUGUUUUGAUCAGCUGCUUAAAUGCAAGAUUGCGUUCUCGAGAAAUAGACUGAUUUCGAAUCAAAACUAUGUACCUCAGAACACCAUUGGUUUACAGCUGUAGUUAAUCACGAUGAAAAAAACUGUUGUAGAAACAGCUCUAUGACAUAUGGUGUGCAAACGUUACAUACAUUAACCUUGUCGCUCACGCAGGGCACAUGAUUCAUAGCUACUUUCGAAAAAUAGGUGCACGUAUCUUGUGAGGUGUUAAAAUACUGGCUAGGCUCUUCAAGUUACUUUGUUCAUUCGUGGGCAGACCAUACGUGGUCUAGUA